rnacentral:tRNA from 2 species
UCCGAGAUGGAGCAGAUGGCAGCUCGCCAGGGCAUACCCCUGGAGGUCGCGGGUUCGAGACCUGUUCUCGCUA